rnacentral:rRNA from 1 species
AUUGAACGCUGGCGGCAUGCUUUACACAUGCAAGUCGAACGGCAGCGCGGGCUUCGGCCUGGCGGCGAGAGGCGAACGGGUGAGUAAUACAUCGGAACGUGCCCAGUAGUGGGGGAUAGCUCGGCGAAAGCCGGAUUAAUACCGCAUACGACCUGAGGGUGAAAGCGGGGGAUCUUCGGACCUCGCGCUAUUGGAGCGGCCGAUGGCAGAUUAGCUAGUUGGUGGGGUAAAGGCCUACCAAGGCGACGAUCUGUAGCUGGUCUGAGAGGACGACCAGCCACACUGGGACUGAGACACGGCCCAGACUCCUACGGGAGGCAGCAGUGGGGAAUGUUGGACAAUGGGCGAAAGCCUGAUCCAGCAAUGCCGCGUGUGUGAUGAAGGCCUUCGGGUUGUAAAGCACUUUUGGCGGGAACGAAAAGGACUGUGCCAAUACCACGGUUCGAUGACGGUACCCGCAGAAUAAGCACCGGCUAACUACGUG